GGAGAGGUGGGUGAGUGGCUGAAACCAGCAGUUUGCUAAACUGCCGUACCUCAGGGUACCGGGGGUUCGAAUCCCCCUCUCUCCG
rnacentral:tRNA from 1 species